rnacentral:rRNA from 1 species
UACGUAGGGUGCGAGCGUUGUCCGGAAUUAUUGGGCGUAAAGAGCUCGUAGGCGGCCUGUCGCGUCGACUGUGAAAACCCAGGGCUCAACCCUGGGCCUGCAGUCGAUACGGGCAGGCUAGAGUGCAGUAGGGGAGACUGGAAUUCCUGGUGUAGCGGUGAAAUGCGCAGAUAUCAGGAGGAACACCGGUGGCGAAGGCGGGUCUCUGGGCUGUAACUGACGCUGAGGAGCGAAAGCGUGGGGAGCGAACAGG